rnacentral:rRNA from 1 species
UACAGAGGGGGCAAGCGUUGUUCGGAAUUACUGGGCGUAAAGGGCGCGUAGGCGGCCUGCUAAGUCGAACGUGAAAUCCCCGAGCUCAACUCGGGAACUGCGUCCGAUACUGGCAGGCUUGAAUCCGGGAGAGGGAUGCGGAAUUCCAGGUGUAGCGGUGAAAUGCGUAGAUAUCUGGAGGAACACCGGUGGCGAAGGCGACAUCCUGGACCGGUAUUGACGCUGAGGCGCGAAAGCCAGGGGAGCAAACGGG